CCGCCCCCAACCUACCCACCUCCUUCCGCUGGAGGCAGCCGUCGCGGGCGAGCCAGCGACGGCGGCAGCCGGGGGAGCCCGCGGCGCCGUGACGGGUCGCUCCUCCGACCCACGCGCUGACGCCGGCUGGCCGUCCGCUCCUCCGCCGACUGGCUAUGCACACCGACCCGCACCGAUACGAGCUGGGUAAAAUCCCACCCACCGCCCAGUUCCCACCAGCGAAUGGCCUCCGCCCCUGCUUUUAGCGCGCCGCCGCCGGCCUCCCACCACACGCGCCGCCACCAUGCUACCGUCACACAAGCCGCCACCGGCCUCCCGCAAGACUCUCCGCCGCCGGCCCCCGCUUCCACCCGCCAUCAGCCACCUUCAAGGGACACCCAGUCACCUUCACCGCCGCCACGAGCGACGCGCCUCCUCCCAUGGAUUCGGUCGCCACCCUGCGCCUCCUACUGGCGACGAGCCCAGUCCUCCUGCCUUCUUCCAGCAACACGCGCCGUUCAACGCCACCACCACUACCAGUUCAACACUGCCCCGACAAAUCCUGUGCGUCAACCCCCUGGCUGACUUUGUUUCUCUCAACUUCAAGAAGAGGUUCAAUUCAGAAGUUUGAACAAGAAAAAUAGGUUCAUUUCAGAACUUGCGUGUGGUGUAUGUACUGCUGCUAACCUUGUUUUGCUUCUUUACAAAGCCUCUAGGAAUAUUAGUACUGAAUUGUUUCUGUCAGCUCCAGCGGGCAAGUGGCCCUGCACAACAACAUGCAGCGAUUCAACAGGGGAGUGUGGGUCAGUACCACGCCGACAAGUCAAGUAGACGUCCUUUGCAUCACGAACUGGUGCAGUUCGAUCUUGCGCAAGCAGGAAAUUCCCUAGUGCCGAGUGUGUCAGUACCACCCUACACAGCAGCAAACAUUGUCUUCUUGCAGCUUCCAUUGAACAAUUAAUCCAAGGAAUUUUGGGUGGAGCAACAUUUGUCGGUCUUAGGAAUCUCGGUCAUUAUUCACCACCAGCCAUGGUGAUGGUCAUUGCUGCUCUUUCCAUCGCAUGGGAGCCGGUUGUUGCUGCCCUUCAAUAUCUCUAUUUCUGAACUAUUGUUGCUUGCUAUCUCACCCCUCUUAAAAUUGUUCGAUGAUUCGUGUACAGAGAAAUUAAAUACCUUUUUUGUGUUUCUUUUUUAAGUCAUUAUAUGCUCUCGAAAUGUUUAUGUUUAUGCCUCAAAAGAGAGAGAGAGAGAGAGAGAGAGAGAGAGAGAGAGAGAGAGAGAGAGAGAGAGAGAGAGAGAGAGAGAGAAAACCAGUACGUGUGUCUCACACUCUGUUACAUAACAUUUUAAUUAUCUUUGCCACAAAGCUUCAUUUAUCCAGAGAAGUUCAAAGUAAAGAUUAAUUCACACUUUAGGUUUUUCUCCUUUUGUCUAUUUGUUCAGUUCUGACUCCUUCGGUUUUGGUUGCAGAGAAAGUUCAAAGUUCAUGCUCCUUUGUUUUUUGUUAAGUCAGGCAGAGUCAGGUUUUGCUUGGGCAUCAUCUCAUCUCGUCCGUUCAGCAAAAGCCUCCAGAUAAGUUUACACUUGUGGUUUUGCUCGUUGGUUUAAUUCUUUAGUCCACACUCCUUGGGUUUUUGAUCUAGAGAAGUUAAAGAAAACCUGUAGAGGUUUGUGGUAAGUUAUGUUUCAUUUGAAGCAGGAACAUCAACUGCCACACCGAUUGAGUUAUGUAUAAUUCGAAACCCUGCCGGGCACGCCGCCGUCGGCCCCCUGCCCCAGCAAGCCGCCUCCACAACCUCCCUCCCUCAGUGCGGCGCCACCUAGCCCCUGCCUCUGAGCGCCACCACCUACCUCCGAGCACCGCCGGUCUUCGCGCACAACUGUCCCACUGCUGCCUCGCGCGCCAACUCUGUCCUGAGGCUAGCCACGGUGGUGGAUCACCGAGGGAUGGCCGGUCCUUGCCACCGGCGGCCGCACUCCCGAUGUGUCCCGUGCGAUUCCGUCAAUAGAGGCUUGCUCCCAUCACCAUCCUCCUUCCAGAGUACAAUGGCAAUGGUGACAACGUCUAGUAGGUCCUCAUGUGCCUCUGCUCGCCCUGCCUUCACCAUCGGCCAGCCGUGAAAAUCCCUCUAAAAAAGUUUAGGUAAAAUGUGGAUCCCUGUACAAAGUUCAGUACAAAAAGUUCAACUAAUUUCUGGUGAUGUUUAAGCUAAGUUCAGUGGAAAAUUCAAGCUCAGUUCAAUCAAAAAAAUCAAGUCAAAAAUUGCAUGAAGCCCCUGCUGCUUGCGUUGGUGCGCUGCUGCUGUUUGUUGCUGCAGCAGGGUGAUCUGAGUUGAGAGAGAGAGAGAGAGAGAGAUAAUAAAAUGGAAUGAUCUUCCACAUUGCCUAACUCGUGGCACAAUUAGUUAAUUUCUUGAUUUAGUCCAAUUGAAUUCCUAAUUUUGUUUCAGUUCAAUGACUGCUAUCUCUCUUAGUUUUGUCCUCUUUUUAUGUAGCCUCCCAGUUGAAGUUCACCUCCAUGUGCUACUCCAUUCGUAGCUCCCAGCCUACCCUCGAGCAAGUACAUGCCAUGCACGAGAUCAGUUCAACCUGUGCACUUGUUCAACCUCGACGCUUGUGGCAGUCCCACAAGGACGAGUGUGGUCUACGAUCGAGCAGUUGGUUCCCAAGCGAGUUCCUGGCUAAAGGUGGGCUUCCACGUUGAGGUGUGGAACGCAAUGUACAUGGAGAUCCUGAUGUAGUAUGAUGAUGGCGAUGUGGCGCGGGUGGACCUCAUGGAGUUCGGCUGGGCUGGCGACGGUCAGCGGUGGACGCGGGUCCAUGAGUUGUGGGGCUCCAUCUGCCGCUCGACCACCGCUUACUCCCACUCUGUUCACUGGUUUUGUUUUCACUCUCACGCCUGUUCCUCGUCGAUCUGUAGCAGCAGGAGACACGAGAUCACCUCCGGCACCACUGGUCACAUGAAGGCUGUCAAAAAAUGAAGAUGGUGAACUGUGGGAGUACUUCCCUUGCUCUUUCUUCUACAUCAAGGUCAAAAAAGCCCUUCAUCUGCAUCCAUCUGCGGCAGGAACACUGCUUUGACAUCAGGAACUCUCACGAGGGAGAUUGGACUAACUGCAAGAAAAAAAGCUCAGUUCUACAGACAGCCCCCACCGCCCACAUGGAUUACUUCCUCCGGUCCUCAUCCAGCGGCCAAAUCCCGACACACCUGAUAGUUGAAACUUACACAUGGCCUGCGACCAACUGCGCCGCCUCUAGAAGCUCCUUGGGAAUGACUUGGUAGUAGCUGGGAUCCCCUUACAGCAGCAAAAUCCCGGCGCACCCAGCCGCCGCUCGUGAUCCCUGCUCCUUCAGCUCGACUUCGCCGGUGCCGUCAGUCCACAGGAGUAGGAGCGUCAUGCCCGGCAACAAACAAGAACAGAAGGAACUGCACGCUAUAUAUAGAAUUUCUACAGAAACUGCUGCAGAUACAUGACUUAUGAGGCUACCAGAGGCUACUACACCUCCAGAUUAAUGACAGCCUGCAACUUACUUGCUUCCAACACACUAGUAACACAUUCUAAGGUUCGUAAUCGGCUACUUAAUAGCGCGGUUGCUAUUAUGUGGGUAAAGGUCCUCAUUUUGUUGAUGGUGGCAUCUUACAAAGAAAAGGUAACCUGCUUUUACUUAUUAGUCUUAUACUUUGCCCUUCAAAUACGAAAGUAGAAUCAAUGUCAAUAAGCAUUUUCACAACUUCUCUUAUUGUCGGUCGCUCAGCAGGUGCUCGAAUAAUUCAAGCAAUGGCAAAUGUUAAGGACCUUUAUUAUAACUUUUGAUCCAUAGUUGCUAACUUUUAGAUCACAAACCGCUGUAGUAUUCCGGUCUGAACAUUGGGAUCAAACCCAUUUUGAUCAUGACAUGAUAAAAAUGGAAUGGUGGGAAGUAGCAGGUCCAGUUUCUAGUAAAUGGGAUCGUGGGCAGAUGCAUAAUAGUCCUAUCCUAUAAUCUGCAGUUUUCAGGAUAAACAGGAUCAAACGGCUUCUUCCCCAGACCACGCUCGGCUUUCUGCCUAGGCAAACCCCUUUUAUUCCUCCCAGGCACAACCACAAUAUCCUUUUCAGUCCAAAUUGACCGCUGACUGUGGUCCAAGUUCAGCAAAUUGACCGUCUCAGAUAAGUUCGUGAAAAAGAUCAAACAAAAAAGAAACCCCAAAUGGGAAUUCGAAUGGUAAAGUCAAAAAUUUCCACUUGGCCUAGAUAGCUCAUAUAUAGUUCAAUCUUGUAAUUUAAAAGGUCAAGUCACAAGUUUGGAGAUGAUUUUUUGCAACUAGUUUGCUUUGAUGAUUCUGUAAUUGCAUCAGGCCAUUACAGAAAAUGGCUCUAGUCGUUCAUUAUUUAUUUCAAUUCAUGAAAUUGAUACAGUGCGCCGCCCCGCCCGCAAUGUCGUUGUUGCUUGCUAGCUGCUGGUGGUUCGUGUGCCCUGGUCGCUGCUGCUAUAGGGUAAGGUGAGUGAGAAAGAGAUUACUGAGAGGGAUUUGCUGCUGCUGUUGUUCCUUGUAUUGAUAGAGGAUUGUUGAAUCUAAAGCCAGCUGCACCUUCGCAUCCUAUGCACUGUCACAUAUGAGUUGGUGCUCCCGCAGUAGUGUUCUAAUUAGCAAAAGAACAAUGAGAAUGGAAAGAAGAUGGUGGUUAAAUAUUAAGUAUAUAAGAACUGAUAGAAUGAGGAUAACAUAAAACAGUGUGUGACUGAAAGAAACUAAAUAUUUUGGUGCAAACGUUGUUGCUUUUCUCUGGUGCUAUAGUUCAAUUUAUUACAACCGUUCUGCUUGUAAUAGCAUCUUCUGCAGGAAGUUCGAGAUGGGAACACUUGUUUCAAAUGCUCUCCUCCCAUUCGCGAUGCUGCCAACAAGGAAAACCUCUGGGAAGCUCUGCUGAAAAGUAGGUGUUUGUUGCACAAGUUCGAGUUGUCGCUACUCGGAGAAGCUACUACUAUUGCUAGCUUUGGGGUUCACAUGCUACAACACAUGGAUCCAUGGACAAUGAAUUAAUAUGAGAGAGAUAAUUUGGUUGUGUCAUGCUCUUUAGUGUUUGUUUCUAUUCCUGUUAGCACCAAAUAGUGUUUGAAUUUUUUUAUUUUGUGCUCUCACAUAUUUGUUUGGGCAGUACAAACACAUCAGCAUAGUGAGUAAGGAUGUGGCACCUUGGGGAAUAAUGCCUACAAAGCAAGCCCAGGAUGACGACGCUGAUCACUAGCAUGAAGGAUACCAAGCAGGCUAAGGAUGAAGUAUACGAUGAAGGCAAUGAGGAUAAUGAAAACAUGCAAUCCAUAAACAUAGCAGCAGCUGCAAGUUCUUCUGUGUAUGAUAAUAUGAUUGCUACUUUUUAAAAGAAAGUGUAUAUGAUAGUUUGAUGUUUCUACAAGAAAGGAAAAAAAUGGUUUGAAUUAAAAACAUUGAUCAGUAUGAAUAAAAAACAAUUAUCAGUU